UCACCUGAGUCGCCAGAGCUCCAGGCUCGACUUCGUUCUGGCCUAUCAACUUCGGCUGCUUUCCACCAGCAGCCAUUAACUUGAUGGGCAUACGCAAUGCUUGAAAGGGCAACGAGGUCCCUGGCACUCGUCUGGGAGACACAGUUACCCGCAGCGUCCCUCCUCGUCUAACGUCUCCAGCUUUCGCAGGCCCGAGUCCCGGGCCCGGCUGGCGGGGCCCCGUCCUCACCUUCGAGGUGUUGCACAGGAACCUCGUCUCGUACUCCUCGUUCAUGGUGAUCACCCCGCGCACGUCCUCGUCCACUACCAGCUGCCGAAGCAAAGAGGGGGCUCAGCGAGGGCCCCGGGCGCCCGCCGACCCCGGGGCCCGCUCCCUGCCCGGCCCGGCGGCCUCCCUCACCCGGUGCGUCAUGCUCCGCAGCGGCAGCGCGCCCAGCAGCACCGUGCGGUCGAUGCGGUGGUACCAGUCGCGGUGGGCCGGGCCGCUCACCCUCCCGCGGAACACCGUGUAGAGCAGCGUCGGGUAGAAGAGCACCCGGGCCAGGCCGGCCUCCAGCCACGCGGACGCCGCCAUCCCGCCCCACCCCGCCAGGCGCAGCGGCGAGGCGCCCGCCCCCGGGCUCGCGGCCAGCCACCGCGAGGACUCGGAGGACGAGAACUGCGGGCUGCCCGGCUCCUCCCGACCCUCGGAAGCGGGGUCCCGGCCAGGCCACCGGGCUCCCGGGACAGGCACCAUGGCUCCGGAGCGGCGCCGCAGGGGUGGGGCGGGGACUGUGACCCUGCCUAGGGCGGAGGGCCCUCUCUGCCACCCCGACCUGGGGCGAGGGGCGAGGCGCGAGGCGGCGCGACCCCGGGUGCACCCGACAUCAAGGAGGAGGAUGGGCAGAGAGGCCUCUCUAAGCCACCGGGGGCCCUGGAAGAACCCGCUCUGGGGACCCCUGGAACUGGAAUCACAGACAGUUGUGAGCCGCUCUGUGGGUGCUGGGAAUUGAACCCCCGGUCCUCUGGAAGAGCAGCCUGUGCUCUUAACUGCUGAGCCAUCUCUCCAACCUCGACUCUCCUUCUUAACAUUAAUUUCCACCCCCUAAUCCCCCACCCAAUCUGACCAAACCAGAGUAUAUGUAGUAUGAAAAAUAUGUAUUAAAUAUUAAGAAAAAUAAAUUUCUUCAUAUCCCUCUUG